UACGUAGGGUGCGAGCGUUGUCCGGAAUUAUUGGGCGUAAAGGGCUCGUAGGCGGUCUGUUGCGUCGGGAGUGAAAACUCAGGGCUUAACCCUGAGCCUGCUUCCGAUACGGGCAGACUAGAGGUAUGCAGGGGAGAACGGAAUUCCUGGUGUAGCGGUGAAAUGCGCAGAUAUCAGGAGGAACACCGGUGGCGAAGGCGGUCUCUGGGCAUUACCUGACGCUGAGGAGCGAAAGGUGUGGGGAGCGGAA
rnacentral:rRNA from 1 species